GCCUCGCGGCAGUCAAGAAUCGAGACAGGAUCGGCCAGGAUAACUCGUUGCAGGAGAAGAAACGCUCGGACGAGGGCCCCAUCAUAAGCCCAUUUCGCCUGGAGCCCAACUGGAGCCGCCAGGCGAGGAUUCGUUGCCAAGGGCUGUGAAAGGAUAAGUGAUUAAUUGUAUCUUUAUUGUUCUGUUGACUGAGUUGUUUUUGUUUUUAGUUUUCAGCGAAUUUUGCGAGGAAGCUAAAUUUGGUGAUAAUUUUUUUGACGCGGGUCAGAGUGUGAAUUCGCGACUGACGAAUUUAGGCAUUUUGGCUAGCAGUAGGCGUGCGCAAGAGGUCCACUUCAUCGACGGAUGACUGCAGCAUGGAGACGGAGUGUAAAUUCGCAGGAUUGUCAGCCUCGUUUUCGUUGAGAUUCGUCAGCAUGCAUCCGGGGUUACAUCAUGCAAGGAGUGGUUUAUGCUCCCGUCAGGGGGCCAAAAUGCGUUUUCGUGGUGGCAGGAUUCAGGCAUUUCGGCGAGCAGCAGCACCACGCAACUUGGGCUAGGGAGGACUACAGCAAGAUGUUCAAUAAAGUAUAUAAUUCAUUGUAAAAAAAGCGCUUGUGCGACAUCCUUCAAGCCGCAGGAUUUUCGUCGAAACACGAUUUGAAAUGGCCUGGCUUGACACUAUCGGUUGUGGAAUAUUUUAAAUCGAUGGGGCAAUUGAUGUCAACAUUGCAGCCAUACUAACCCAGCAGUCGGGCUGGCUGUCAGGAUUGCAGGUCCUUGGAGGGAAUGGAUCAGGGGCCUUGUGCCAUGAAUUCUGUCUGCAUGUCGAGGAAUAUAUGUCGCUGCGGGACAAAAAGAUAAAUUCGAGGACCACAAAUUCGGUUACUUAAAGGAGCAGGGGAACCGCGCAUUCGGCCAACAUCGACGAGGAAGCAUUGUAUGAUGGAGACGUCUUUUAAGGAUCAUAGAUUUUUUGUCAAAUAAGGGCUAAAUGAGCGACAUUUUGUACUGACUGAGGGAUCCAGUCACCACUCGCGACAGCGCAGGAGUAGAAUCAGCACUGGGAAGUCUGACCCCUUUUCUACCGCCAGUGGAGCUUCCGAUUAAAAAGAGCGGCAGAAGUUUGACACUUUAAAGGAUCAGCUGCAGUAUAUUACGGGUAGAUGGCGUUGUACGAACAAAAAUGCAAGCUAAGUAGGUAGGUAGG